GGGGGGGGCAAGCCGGACUGCACCCGCCCCUGAAACCCAGGAUCACCUCAGAGAGCGUACCAGAAGAACCAGACGGACGAAAAACGAAGCCAGACCUCGGACGCCAGGGAGGCGUGGAGUCGUCGGCAGUUCGUGCCUGUACGGGGCCGGCAAGAGCCAGGAUAGUCUGUCACCCGUCCCGGAAUGAGGGGGGGAUAUCCGGGUAAGUAGAGCUCGUGGAUGUUUCGGUCGAGACCGG